CAAGAAUCGAAGUACUCGAAAUUCGACUCCCGAAAUAGUGGUGAGCUCUCUAAUAAUGGUAAAGAGAUUAUGCCCGAAGAUUGGGAAUAAGAGUAUAUCGAACUCUUAGUACUGCCCAAGGUAGCCUGUGGAUAGCAAAUAUCGUCGAGGAUUAUAGUUGGCUUUAUUACUCCAAAAACUGCAAGUUUACUGCCUUUGUGGACUUUUGUUCCUUGUGAGCCCACGAGUCACUGUAAAGUAAAUUUCAUAUCCCGGUUAUCUGUAUUAUAGCAAGUAUGAAUUUAUUUAGCUUUUACAUUAC